rnacentral:rRNA from 1 species
UUGCCUCAAGAUGAGAUCUCACUGGGAACUUGAUUCCCCUGAAGGGCCGUCGAAGACUACGACGUUGAUAGGCUGGGUGUGUAAGCGUUGUGAGGCGUUGAGCUAACCAGUACUAAUUGCCCGUGAGGCUUGACCAUAUAACACCCAAACA